UGCAAGCCAGGCCUAAUUGCCCGACUUCACUAAUGCUCUUGUAGCUGAAUGGAAGCAAGUCCCCACAGCAAUGUGAUGUUCGACGAGCAGGUGUCCACAUACUUUUGUCAUGUAUUGUACAUGUAUUAGGAUCACUGAUGUGAAGAUCUGUAUUGUGGUAUAUUUAAAUCAAUGAACAGUUAAAGAAUAGAGAUGAGCACAAUCUAAGGAUUACCAUACUACCAAGAUACUCUCAUCAAAGAUAAUUAUUUGAGAAUGACUGCCUGGUGGCACAUGUUAUAUGAUUCAGAAGCUGACAUGUUGUGUUUGUCCCUAAAUAUUAAGCAAAUAAGCCUGAAAUGAAAGUCACUGGGAAAGAAUGGGUACUGGUCAACCUAAAUGUCUCUGGAUACUACAGGGUUAGAGCUAUGAUGAAGCCAACUGGGAAAGUCUCAUCAACGUACUGAGCACCAUUCCUCAGUUAUCAAUGGAGCUCAAUUGGUGGAUGAUCCUUUUAACCUUGCAAGGAGUGAAGCCUAUGGGGAUAUGCAGGCUUACCUCAAAAACAAGUAGAACCACUUUACAUACUAUAAGGGUAUCACUGACAACUGGAAAACAGUACCCACUGGGCAUAUGGACCAGUACAACCAAGUGAAUGCCAUUAGGAUGGCCUGUAGCACUGGAAUGACGGAGUGUCAGAAUCUGACUAAUGGCUGACCCUGUCAACAAUCCGUACCUGGACUACACCCUGGAUGCAACCAACAUCUGCAAGCAGGAUGCCACCUCUACCAUUUUUUACAUUGCAAGCAAUGUUGUUGGCCAGUCUCUGGCCUGGGACUUUAUGAGAGACAGAUGGGGUUACAUCUUAACUCAGUGAGUUUGAGCUUUUAUCACAUAUUGUAUUGAUUGUUUAAUUUCGAAGUGAUUCUUUGUCACAUUUGGUACACUGAUAUUUGAUCUAACUCUACAUUAGAUGUUGUUUUCUUACUUGACCUCGUCUGUCAUAGGUACGGAGGUGGUUCUUUCUCCUUCUCCAUCUCCAAUCUCAUCGAUGGUGUGACCAAGAGGUUUUCAACUGAAUUUGAGUUCUAACAGAUGGUAUUACAGAUUAGGGGAUUUGUCAGCACAUAUUGCUCAACAUGUUUGUAUUGGGGUACGAUGUGGACCCUAAAUGUAGAGUUUUCUAUAUUGCACAAUAUAAGUUAAUGUUUCUCUUCGCUGUCACAGCUCAUGCAGUUACAGGCAGACAACUGAGGUUGGCUUCGACUCGGGUAUCUUUGCAAUUUCACAGGCCAUUGAGCGGACAACAGCUAACAUCAAAUGGGUGGCAGAGAACAAGAACUGUGCAGGCAUGGCUUAAAGCAGAGACUGAUGCACCAUAAUGGUCACAUGGAGAAACAAACACCUGUCCAUUUAUUUAUUAUCUAAGACCAAUCCUAAAGCCAUGUUUCUUGUUGUUUUUUUGUCUCUCUAACAGUCAAUGACACUUUUUAUUCUAAAGUUAUCCUGCCCCUUAAUCAGAAAUACUAUGUCGGCCUAUACUUCUAUUUUUUGGGGAAAUAACGUUGUAUGAAUUAAAACAUAAUUUUUCUAUCAAAGACUAACUUUCUAAAAUGCUGCAUUGCUAUUAAACACUGGUUUAUGAUUGUGGAUUGUGGAAAUAAUGUGGAA